rnacentral:rRNA from 1 species
ACGGGUGAGUAACACGUGAGUAACCUGCCCUUGACUCUGGGAUAAGCCUGGGAAACUGGGUCUAAUACCGGAUACGACCAUUCCACGCAUGUGGUGGUGGUGGAAAGCUUUUGUGGUUUUGGAUGGACUCGCGGCCUAUCAGCUUGUUGGUGGGGUAAUGGCCUACCAAGGCGACGACGGGUAGCCGGCCUGAGAGGGUGACCGGCCACACUGGGACUGAGACACGGCCCAGACUCCUACGGGAGGCAGCAGUGGGGAAUAUUGCACAAUGGGCGCAAGCCUGAUGCAGCGACGCCGCGUGAGGGAUGACGGCCUUCGGGUUGUAAACCUCUUUCAGUAGGGAAGAAGCGUAAGUGACGGUACCUGCAGAAGAAGCGCCGGCUAACUACGUGCCAGCAGCCGCGGUAAUACGUAGGGCGCAAGCGUUAUCCGGAAUUAUUGGGCGUAAAGAGCUCGUAGGCGGUUUGUCGCGUCUGCUGUGAAAGACCGGGGCUCAACUCCGGUUCUGCAGUGGGUACGGGCAGACUAGAGUGCAGUAGGGGAGACUGGAAUUCCUGGUGUAGCGGUGAAAUGCGCAGAUAUCAGGAGGAACACCGAUGGCGAAGGCAGGUCUCUGGGCUGUAACUGACGCUGAGGAGCGAAAGCAUGGGGAGCGAACAGGAUUAGAUACCCUGGUAGUCCAUGCCGUAAACGUUGGGCACUAGGUGUGGGGGACAUUCCACGUUUUCCGCGCCGUAGCUAACGCAUUAAGUGCCCCGCCUGGGGAGUACGGCCGCAAGGCUAAAACUCAAAGGAAUUGACGGGGGCCCGCACAAGCGGCGGAGCAUGCGGAUUAAUUCGAUGCAACGCGAAGAACCUUACCAAGGCUUGACAUGAACCGGAAAGACCUGGAAACAGGUGCCCCGCUUGCGGUCGGUUUACAGGUGGUGCAUGGUUGUCGUCAGCUCGUGUCGUGAGAUGUUGGGUUAAGUCCCGCAACGAGCGCAACCCUCGUUCUAUGUUGCCAGCGCGUGAUGGCGGGGACUCAUAGGAGACUGCCGGGGUCAACUCGGAGGAAGGUGGGGACGACGUCAAAUCAUCAUGCCCCUUAUGUCUUGGGCUUCACGCAUGCUACAAUGGCCGGUACAAAGGGUUGCGAUACUGUGAGGUGGAGCUAAUCCCAAAAAGCCGGUCUCAGUUCGGAUUGGGGUCUGCAACUCGACCCCAUGAAGUCGGAGUCGCUAGUAAUCGCAGAUCAG